AUUGAACGCUGGCGGCAUGCCUUACACAUGCAAGUCGAACGGCAGCACGGGAGCAAUCCUGGUGGCGAGUGGCGAACGGGUGAGUAAUACAUCGGAACGUGCCCAGUAGUGGGGGAUAGCCCGGCGAAAGCCGGAUUAAUACCGCAUACGACCUAUGGGUGAAAGCGGGGGAUCGCAAGACCUCGCGCUAUUGGAGCGGCCGAUGUCGGAUUAGCUAGUUGGUGGGGUAAAGGCUUACCAAGGCUACGAUCCGUAGCUGGUCUGAGAGGACGACCAGCCACACUGGGACUGAGACACGGCCCAGACUCCUACGGGAGGCAGCAGUGGGGAAUUUUGGACAAUGGGCGCAAGCUUGAUCCAGCCAUGCCGCGUGCGGGAAGAAGGCCUUCGGGUUGUAAACCGCUUUUGUCAGGGAAGAAACGGUCUGGGUUAAUACCUCGGACUAAUGACGGUACCUGAAGAAUAAGCACCGGCUAACUACGUGCCAGCCGCCGCGGUAACAC
rnacentral:rRNA from 1 species